AACGAACGCUGGCGGCAGGCUUAACACAUGCAAGUCGAGCGCCCCGCAAGGGGAGCGGCAGACGGGUGAGUAACGCGUGGGAACGUACCUUUUGGUUCGGAACAACUCCGGGAAACUGGAGCUAAUACCGGAUAAGCCCUAACGGGGAAAGAUUUAUCGCCGAAAGAUCGGCCCGCGUCUGAUUAGCUAGUUGGUGAGGUAACGGCUCACCAAGGCGACGAUCAGUAGCUGGUCUGAGAGGAUGAUCAGCCACACUGGGACUGAGACACGGCCCAGACUCCUACGGGAGGCAGCAGUGGGGAAUAGUGGACAAUGGGCGCAAGCCUGAUCCAGCCAUGCCGCGUGAGUGAUGAAGGCCUUAGGGUUGUAAAGCUCUUUUGUCCGGGAAGAUAAUGACUGUACCGGAAGAAGAAGCCCCGGCUAACUUCGU
rnacentral:rRNA from 1 species